CGGACUUAGCGGCGGACGGGUGAGUAACGCGUGGGAACAUACCCUUUGGUACGGAAUAGCCUCGGGAAACUGGGAGUAAUACCGUAUGUGCCCUUCGGGGGAAAGAUUUAUCGCCAAAGGAUUGGCCCGCGUUGGAUUAGAUAGUUGGUGGGGUAAUGGCCUACCAAGUCUACGAUCUAUAGCUGGUUUGAGAGGAUGAUCAGCUACACUGGAACUGAGACACGGUCCAGACUCC
rnacentral:rRNA from 1 species